UACAGAGGUCUCAAGCGUUGUUCGGAUUCAUUGGGCGUAAAGGGUGCGUAGGUGGCGCGCUAAGUCAGGUGUGAAAUUUCGGGAGCUUAACUCCGAAACUGCAUUUGAUACUGGCGUGCUUGAGGACUGGAGAGAGACUGGAAUUCAUGGUGUAGCAGUGAAAUGCGUAGAGAUCAUGAGGAAGACCAGUGGCGAAGGCGGGUCUCUGGACAGUUCCUGACACUGGAGGCACGAAGGCCAGGGGAGCAAACGGG
rnacentral:rRNA from 1 species